GGCCUUCCUCUCUCUGCCUGUUGUAUAAAAUCAGCAGAGCUGAUCAGAUCUUCCUGUUCUUGGCAGGGUUCCUACUUUUCUGGGAUUGUUUGGUUCGCUCACAUGUUUUUGUUCACCCUUUCCUGUUUACAUAGGCAGAAACAAAUACAUAUACAGUUUGAAAUAUAUAGAGAUGCUUAAUUGAAGAACAAAAUCUCCAUAUCACCUUUUCAUAUAUUCAUGAUUUCUUCAAUAUUUUUAUAUUUGUAUUUAUAUACAUUUUUAAAAUAUUUUUAUAUUUUAUAUGUUAUAUAUUUAAAAGUCAUUAAAAAUUAAAACCAAUUCUUUUCAUUUUAUUAUUACAACCAAUUUUUUUCUGCAUGUUAUGCUGACUUUUCUCUUUUGAGCUUUGCUUUGAACUCAUUCUCAAAUUGGCAUAACUUGGCUGACGGGAAGUAAGCUGCCUUCUACUUCAACCUUUUAGCUCUGCCCCGAUUUUCUUAUGACAAAAAUAGUGUCGUAAGAAACAUCUGGGUUUUUUCUUCCAUACGGACUCAUUGAA
rnacentral:lncRNA from 10 species